rnacentral:rRNA from 1 species
UGCUAUACAUGCAGUCGAGCGAACAGACGAGGAGCUUGCUCCUCUGACGUUAGCGGCGGACGGGUGAGUAACACGUGGAUAACCUACCUAUAAGACUGGGAUAACUUCGGGAAACCGGAGCUAAUACCGGAUAAUAUAUUGAACCGCAUGGUUCAAUAGUGAAAGACGGUUUUGCUGUCACUUAUAGAUGGAUCCGCGCCGCAUUAGCUAGUUGGUAAGGUAACGGCUUACCAAGGCAACGAUGCGUAGCCGACCUGAGAGGGUGAUCGGCCACACUGGAACUGAGACACGGUCCAGACUCCUACGGGAGGCAGCAGUAGGGAAUCUUCCGCAAUGGGCGAAAGCCUGACGGAGCAACGCCGCGUGAGUGAUGAAGGUCUUCGGAUCGUAAAACUCUGUUAUUAGGGAAGAACAAAUGUGUAAGUAACUAUGCACGUCUUGACGGUACCUAAUCAGAAAGCCACGGCUAACUACGUGCCAGCAGCCGCGGUAAUACGUAGGUGGCAAGCGUUAUCCGGAAUUAUUGGGCGUAAAGCGCGCGUAGGCGGUUUUUUAAGUCUGAUGUGAAAGCCCACGGCUCAACCGUGGAGGGUCAUUGGAAACUGGAAAACUUGAGUGCAGAAGAGGAAAGUGGAAUUCCAUGUGUAGCGGUGAAAUGCGCAGAGAUAUGGAGGAACACCAGUGGCGAAGGCGACUUUCUGGUCUGUAACUGACGCUGAUGUGCGAAAGCGUGGGGAUCAAACAGGAUUAG